rnacentral:rRNA from 1 species
AACGAACGCUUGCGGCGCGCCUAAUACAUGCAAGUCGAGCGAGAAAGUACUUCGGUAUGAGUACAACGGCGGACGGGUGAGGAACACGUAGAUAAUCUGCCUUAAAGAGGGGGAUAACUAAUCGAAAGAUUAGCUAAUACCGCAUAAGACCACAGGAGCUUCGGCUCUAGGGGUUAAAGGAGUAAUCCACUUUAAGAUGAGUCUGCGUCCGAUUAGCUAGUUGGUAGGGUAAUGGCCUACCAAGGCAACGAUCGGUAACUGGUCUGAGAGGAUGGCCAGUCACACUGGAACUGAGUCACGGUCCAGACUCCUACGGGAGGCAGCAGUAGGGAAUAUUGCACAAUGGAGGAAACUCUGAUGCAGCGACGCCGCGUGAGUGAUGAAGGCCUUCGGGUUGUAAAACUCUGUGAUAAGGGAAGAUGAUGACGGUACCUUAUCAGAAAAGACCGGCUAACUUCGUGCCAGCAGCCGCCGCUGUAA